UUAGUACAAGCUCAGGGUAGAGGGUCCAAGUCAGGUCGGGCUCUGAACCUGCCCGGCGGAGGAGGGUGGGAAGCCGUGGUUCCAAGGCUGCCCUCCUGGCGCUGGGCUUUGACUCUAGCCAGUCCUGGGACCUGAGAGGCCCAAACGGGGCGUCCAGCCUGUGGGGUAAGUCGGACUUCUGGCCUGAUGUGGCAGAGUGGUGGUGAGGCCAGCACCCUCCCCCUCCGCCGCAGGACUGCAAGCUUGGGGCUCACCAGGGACAGCGAGGAGGCGGAGCCUGAGUGGGCACUGCACUUCUGUGGACUUCUGACUGCAGCCCAGGAGCCACCAGACCUUCCAUGGAGAGUCCUGGGGCUGAGUGGCCAUGCCUCCGCUACAGGCUGCUCCCAUGGGCCCAUGCGCUCUUCCUCCCUACUCUAGCGAUGGAGACUCUGAACAUAGUUGUUGCUUUCUGCUCCCAGAAGAUUUGGCCAGUAUUUCCCCAGUGUGCAGGAGAGGAGAACUGGGUGGACAGCAGGACCAUCUACGUGGGACACAAGGAGCCGCCUCCGGGAGCAGAGGCCUACAUUCCACAGAGAUACCCUGACAACAGGAUCGUCUCCUCCAAGUACACGUUUUGGAACUUCAUACCCAAGAACUUAUUUGAACAAUUCAGAAGAAUAGCCAACUUUUACUUUCUUAUCAUAUUUCUGGUACAGCUGAUCAUCGAUACACCCACCAGUCCCGUGACAAGUGGACUCCCGCUGUUCUUUGUCAUCACUGUCACCGCCAUCAAACAGGGCUACGAGGACUGGCUCCGUCACAAGGCCGACAAUGCUAUGAACCAGUGUCCCGUGCACUUCAUCCAGCACGGCAAGCUCGUCCGCAAGCAGAGCCGGAAGCUGAGAGUUGGGGACAUCGUCAUGGUCAAGGAGGAUGAGACCUUUCCCUGUGACUUGAUCUUCCUCUCCAGCAACCGUGGAGAUGGGACCUGCCACGUCACCACUGCCAGCUUGGAUGGGGAGUCAAGCCAUAAAACACACUACGCGGUCCAGGACACCAAGGGCUUCCACACGGAGGAGGACGUCGAUCGCCUGCAUGCCACCAUCGAGUGUGAGCAGCCGCAGCCCGACCUGUAUAAGUUCGUGGGCCGCAUCAAUGUGUACAGCGAUCUGAACGACCCUGUGGUGAGGCCACUGGGAUCAGAAAACCUGCUUCUCCGAGGAGCCACGCUCAAGAACACUGAGAAGAUCUUUGGUGUGGCCAUCUACACAGGCAUGGAGACCAAGAUGGCCUUGAACUAUCAGUCGAAAUCCCAGAAGAGAUCUGCCGUGGAAAAGUCAAUGAAUGUGUUCCUCAUCGUCUACCUCUGCAUUCUGGUGAGCAAGGCGCUGGUCAACACUGUGCUCAAGUACGUGUGGCAGAGCGAGCCCUUCCGGGAUGAGCCCUGGUACAACCAGAAGACCGAGUCGGAGAGGCAGCGGAACCUGUUCCUCAGGGCCUUCACGGACUUCCUGGCCUUCAUGGUGCUCUUCAACUACAUCAUCCCCGUGUCCAUGUACGUCACCGUGGAGAUGCAGAAGUUCCUUGGAUCCUACUUCAUCAGCUGGGAUGAGGACAUGUUCGACGAGGAGACAGGAGAGGGGCCUCUGGUCAACACGUCCGACUUGAACGAGGAGCUGGGUCAGGUGGAGUACAUCUUCACGGACAAGACGGGCACACUCACAGAGAACAACAUGGCAUUCAAGGAGUGCUGCAUCGAAGGUCAGGUCUACGUGCCCCACGUCAUCUGCAACGGGCAGGUCCUGCCUGACUCCUCUGGCAUCGACAUGAUUGACUCUUCCCCGGGCGUCAGUGGGAGGGAGCGGGAGGAGCUUUUUUUCCGGGCCCUCUGUCUCUGCCACACUGUGCAGGUGAAAGAUGACGACCAGGUGGACGGCCCCAGGAAGUCACCGGACUCAGGGAAGUCCUGCGUGUACAUAUCAUCCUCGCCUGACGAGGUGGCGCUGGUGGAAGGCAUCCAGAGGCUCGGCUUCACAUACCUGCGGCUGAAGGACAACUACAUGGAGAUUCUCAACAGGAACGAUGACAUCGAGAGGUUUGAGUUGCUGGAGAUUCUGAGUUUUGACUCUGUGAGAAGGAGAAUGAGUGUCAUCGUCAGAGCUGCCACAGGAGAAAUCUAUCUGUUUUGCAAAGGAGCGGAUUCUUCCAUAUUUCCCAGGGUGACGGAAGGCAGAGUGGACCAGAUCCGAGCCAGGGUGGAGCGCAAUGCAGUGGAGGGGCUCCGCACACUGUGUGUGGCCUACAAGAGCAUGGCCCCCGAGGAGUACGAGGGCGCCUGCAGACUGCUGCAGGCCGCCAAGGUGGCCCUCCAGGACCGGGAGAAGAAGCUCGCAGAGGCCUACGAGCAGAUCGAGAGGGACCUCAUCCUGCUUGGUGCCACGGCCGUGGAGGACAGGCUCCAGGAGAAAGCAGCCGACACCAUCGAGGCACUGCAGAAGGCGGGCAUCAAGGUCUGGGUGCUCACCGGGGACAAGAUGGAGACGGCUGCGGCCACCUGCUAUGCCUGCAAGCUCUUCCGGAGGAGCACGCAGGUGCUCGAGCUCACCACCAAGCGGAUCGAGGAGCAGAGUCUGCAUGACGUCCUGUUCGAGCUGAGCAAGACCGUCCUGCGCUGCAGCGGGAGCCUGACCAGGGACAACUUCUCAGGACUCUCAGCGGAUAUGCAGGACUACGGUUUAAUUAUUGAUGGCGUGGCGCUGUCAUUAAUCAUGAAGCCCCGAGAGGACGGCAGUUCCAGCAACUACCGAGAGCUCUUCCUGGAGAUCUGCCGGAACUGCAGUGCUGUGCUCUGCUGCCGGAUGGCGCCCUUGCAGAAAGCCCAGAUUGUUAAGUUGAUCAAAUUUUCAAAAGAGCACCCCAUCACCCUGGCCAUCGGUGAUGGCGCCAAUGACGUCAGCAUGAUCCUGGAGGCCCAUGUGGGCAUAGGGGUCAUUGGGAAGGAAGGCCGGCAGGCGGCGCGGAACAGCGACUACGCGAUACCCAAGUUCAAGCACUUGAAGAAGAUGCUUCUGGUCCACGGGCAUUUCUACUACAUCAGGAUCUCUGAGCUGGUGCAGUACUUCUUCUACAAGAACGUCUGCUUCAUUUUCCCCCAGUUUCUGUACCAGUUCUUCUGUGGGUUCUCACAACAGACCCUGUACGACACCGCGUACCUGACCCUCUACAACAUCAGCUUCACGUCCCUCCCGAUUCUGCUGUACAGCCUGAUGGAGCAGCACGUGGGCAUCGACGUGCUCAAGAGAGACCCUUCGCUAUACAGGGACAUCGCCAAGAACGCGCUGCUCCGCUGGAGGGUGUUCACCUACUGGACCUUCCUGGGGCUAUUUGAUGCGCUGGUGUUUUUCUUUGGUGCUUAUUUCAUGUUUGAAAACACAGUCGUGACCAGCGGUGGACAGAUGUUCGGGAACUGGACCUUUGGGACACUGGUGUUCACGGUCAUGGUGUUCACCGUCACGCUGAAGCUGGCUCUGGACACACACUACUGGACUUGGAUCAACCACUUUGUCAUCUGGGGGUCGCUGCUGUUCUACAUCGUCUUUUCCCUGCUCUGGGGAGGAAUCAUCUGGCCGUUCCUCAGUUAUCAGAGGAUGUACUACGUGUUCAUGCACAUGCUGUCCAGUGGGCCCGCCUGGCUGGGCAUCAUCCUGCUCAUCACCGUCAGCCUCCUCCCAGAUGUCCUCAAGAAAGUCCUGUGCAGGCAGCUGUGGCCGACAGCGACGGAAAGGACCCAGAGGAGCAUGCAGCACAGAGCACCCGUGGAUGCCGUGCCCAGCAGCGACAGGCCACUGCUGAAGGACCUCUUACCGCAGCCGCGGCGUCAUUAGCUCCACGCUAGGUAACGGUGUGGCCGCUGCCCACUGGGCGUGGCCCGUGUGCUGUGACUCUCAGACUGUCUGUUCUUCCUCCAAAGUUUUGCUGUGCUGUGCCAUUGUUGAUAACAGAGGUUCACAAUACAAAGGAACACACCCUUUGCACACCUGUGCAUUUCCACCCAGGUGAGCGCACAUGCCUGAGAGUAAGCUGACCAGGUAGGGCGCAUGCGUGCGUGCGCGUGUACACACACACACACACACACACACUCACGGCCAGUCUCACCCAGCAUGCAAGCAGUCGACUGUCCAUGUCCAGCAUUUGCAGACAGGAGCUGGCUCCUGGUCAGUGGUGGAAGCAGCUCAGUUCGGGCGCGAGUCGGGACAGAUCCUGUUCCACAUCAGAAGUGGAGCAUUGCUCAGUCGCACUGGACACAGCCCAGGUGGCUCCCAGCUGACCACCAUUGUCCAGCAGCUAUAUCUGCUGGUCUUGGGCUGUAAAGAUUCCACGUUGUCCAGCACUUCAGACUCGGGGUUUGCAGUGAGCCCCAUGUUUGCCAGCGGCCCCCACCUAAAGGUAGCUUUGUGCGGGCAUCGUCCCUCGUGUGGACUGACUGGUACCGUUGGCCUCCCCGCCAGCUGCGUGGAUGCAGUCUGUGCCGCGGGCCUCAGUGGGUGGUCACGCAGCAGCACGGCCACCUCCAUCAGAGCUCGCAGCCACAGGAGUCGGUGGUUCCAGACUCGUCCCUCUCUCCUCUCUGCAGAGCUCAGGUGCACAGAGCCCCAGGCCCUUGGCUGCCCUGGGCGACUUCUGCCUAGGAAGGCAGGCGGGGUGCUCCCGGGGGCGGGGCGCUGUGCCCCCUACGGGGCCUCUCCGGCAACUGCUGUGGAUCCAGCCUGAGGCGUGGGUGCUGGGGCCCGCUCAGAGCCCGUGCCACGGUGGACAGUGCCCAGGCCCAGCGCUGCAAGCUGUGCUCGCUGGUGCCUGUGCACUCGUGCGCCUCUCCUGGUGCCCAAGGAGGCGAAGCCCUGGCCGCAGGCCACUCUCUGGGGCAAGCACACCACAGUCUUUCGUCCCCUGCCCAUGGCCUCCAGCGCCAGCUGGACUGUGAACGCAGACCUCGCCUCGGCCCCUCCUCUGCACUACAGCUGCAGGCUGGCUUCGCCCAGGCCUGUGUCAGCCCCGUCCCCAUCUCUGUGUCCUGUCACCUGAAGAGCCGUCCUCUAGUCUGCACCUCCAUGUCCAGCCCCCGUCCACAGCCGUCCAGCUCACACAUGCCACCCUCUGCACCAGGCCCCUCUGCGCUUCCCCCCUGGUGCCGCAGGCUGGACGCCCCGCCUGACCCCGAGGGCGUGUCCACCUCCCGGCCCUGCGGCCUGGCCCGGCCAGUUGCCCACUACCUUAAGAAGCAGUUGUUCCUGACUACAUCUGAGUCUCCUGCGGAGGGAGCUUGGCAGGGAUUCCAGGUCCCCUUUCCUGUCACCAGCUGCCCUUGGAGGAGGACAUUGUCAUGGCGUGAGCCUGCGUGGUGUGCACCCCUGGCUGCCACACACCCACGUGGGAGUUGCCAGUUCGCCUUCCUGGAAGGGGGUUCCGGGGUGCUGGGGAAAGGUGGUGGUCCGGGGCAGGGCAGGGAGAGGUCUGGCUGGCGGUCAGACACCCACCCCUGCCGUUUGUACCGAGGUGUGGUCCUCCGAAGCCUGUCCUAGCCAGUCAGUCCCAGCGGGCAUGCUGCUUAGCAGCCCCUCCACGCCUCCCCAGGUGGCUCCUGCUGUCCUUCGCAGCCCUCCUGCCUGGGAACCUGGCCAAGGUGUGUGUUGGAGGGGACAGGCGAUGGGGGCUCUGUGUUACGGAGCUCCUGCUACCUGGGCUGUGGUCUGUUUCUGGGAGACUCUACCUGAUGGCCUGGGUGGACCUGUCUUAGAGGAGACACUUGGAGGCUGGAGCCUCAGCCUGAGGGAGGAAGGCCAGUGCCCUCCAUGCAGUGGCCCAUAACGGGGACAUGCUGUUCCCCAGCUGCUCGAGAGCAGAGGUCUGGGGAGUGCCGGUUCCCAGGCAGUGUGAGGUCUCACCUGCUCAACCCUUAGUCUCACAGCAGUGGCCCCACCGUGGAUAGGUCAGAGCAGGACACUGUACCAAAGAGGGGUGGCCUCCCCGGCUGAGGACAGAGGACGUCGUGCCCCCCAGCCCCUUGCCGCUGUCCUGCUCUCACCCCAGUCACUUCCGUGUCACCCCUGUGGCAGCCAAGCGUGGCUAGGGCCCACACUAACCCGCAGACAGUGGUGUGUGCCCGUCGCAGCCCUUCUGAAGAGCCCAGGAGGGUCUGGACGUGACACCUGCAGGGCACAGGCUCCCCAAACGAUUAUCAACAAAUUGUUUGUAUCGUAUUUUUUUAGAGAUCUUGAAGUUGCCUUUGCGCUGAACUAUUUUCAUAGCUCUUUAUAUCUCUUUUAUCCUUUGUUAACAUAUCUGACUUUUAAAGUAUGUUUUUAGAGCUCUAAUGCCUAAGUUCGUGGAAUCGUGGCCACUUUACGUUUCUGUUCUGGUGAGAAUUCCACUGUAUGUUCCAAUUUCUGAUGAAUGUGAAUCUCUGGAUCAGAUUUGGUUCUCCAUGUCUCUGUUUCCUGGUGUUUCUGGGCAGCAGUGAGUUCAGGGGCAUGUGAAGGUCACGAUGAUUUGCUCUUCUUUGCCCUCACGGUUCUCUGCAGUGUCAUCUGCUUUCCGUUUUGUUUUGUUGUUAAUUUCCAUCCCUCAGCCUUAAAAAUAGGAGAUUCCUGCUUGAGGGUUUGGUCGGCUCGACCCUGUUCUGCCUGAGUGGAGCCUCGGGUCUGGGUGUGAGGCCCUCGCAACGUCGUCUUACUCCCGGGAGGUUACUAAAGGGAUGUGUCUAGUGAUGGAAACAGGCACAGGCUGAAACGGAGGAGGAGACCCACGAAGGGGCCCUGCGCUUCGGCUCCGUUUCCCGCCACAGUAACUUUAAAGCAGGAACGCCAGCAGUGAGCAUUUUUCGUAGCUUUGAAAAUCUCCUGCCAUGUGAAGGAAGGAAUCAUCACCUGUGAGGAUGACCGGUCAUGCACACCCCGUCUGCACACAGCACGUCAGCUCCUGCCAGCCGUCUGGCGACACACAUUCUCUCCCGUCCCAUGCCUAUGUGUGAGCUCACACGUGUGUGUGCACACCCACACUGCUCUCUCAUCCUGGGCACCCUGCCCCCUUCUGAGGCUCCCAUGAGGGGCUGUGGCCUGGCCGGGAAGACGAGCUCUCGCGUGCGCACGGCUCACUCUGCAAAAAUGAGGCUGCCCUGCAGGUACACGGGCCUGCGGACGACUCCCCGCCUGGACUAGGAUGCUGUCGCCUCCCAGGGAGGUCCAGCCCCAAGUCACGGUGGAGCAACAGGGCCCAGGUCCACGGGAACUGCACACACGCCCCUGUGCUUCUGAGCACACCAGCGCCUUCUUCCACAAAGUCCCGCCCACCCAUUCCGAGCACAAGCAGACCAAAGGCCAUGCCCAGGACACCUACGCCGGCCAGGAGGCCUGGAUGCUGAACUGGAAAGAGUGGACCCUGGGCACCCACGGCAGGUGCUCUCAGUGGGCCUCUGAGCAUUUUGCAGCUUUGCCUGGAGAACUCCGGGGUGGGGGUGAGGGAGCUGCUCCAGUUGCCAAGCACCAGCCAGCGUCGGAUCCAGAGGAAGCGCGCCCCUGGGUCCUGGAACCGCCAGGUCCGUGUGCUCUGCACCGGCCGGCGCUGAACUAACAACCACUCUUGUUCCACCUCGAUGUUAUUUAUUGACAACACAGUAUAACUACAGGUCCUCGCGUUCUACAUUUCUUUUGGAGAUUGCCCAUUUGUUACUUUAAAAACAGGAAAAAUAUCAGUUGGCGAAUGCAAUCUUUUUUUUUUUUUAACCAGAGGCAGGUGAGUGGGAAUGAAACUCAUUCUAAUGCUGUGUAAACAAAGCUUUAAUGAAGGUAUGUUGGAAGUAUUAUGAAAGUGAUUCUACUUUUGCAGAAAAAUCUUAAGAUCAAUUUAUAUAGCUUUAUUUUUUACUUUAUCAGGAUACUCAGAAUUUUAAUAUGCCUAUAUUGUCUCUGACUUAAAAUAACAUGUCUGCAUUACCAUUUAAAAUGCCCAUUCACUAUGUAAUGUAAUAAGAGAGAAUCUUCAAAAAUGUAUUUAAUGUGAACGGUAUCUAUAGCUGUCAUCAUCAUAAACACUGGAAUUUAUUUUUUAAAUUAUCAAAUGUGGCAGGUACAUUUAACAUAUAUCAUCCUCCAAACAGUAACAUUCAGCUGAUAAUUCGUUAACUUGCUUUGAAAAAUUAAAUUGUGAUUUAAACCAAAUCAGACAUUUCUGUAAAGUUUAUUUUGUAUGCUACUGUUUUUAACUUUUAUUUCUGUAGCAAAAGUACAACUUGAUGAUCUUAAUUAUAUUGGAUUUUUCUGUAGAUUAUCCAAACAGAAGACAUGAAUUUGCUCACAAUAAAUACCAAAAAAAUCUGCUUCCAUCUCCUUACAAA